rnacentral:rRNA from 1 species
UACAGAGGGUGCAAGCGUUAAUCGGAGUUACUGGGCGUAAAGGGCGCGUAGGCGGUUUGAUGAGUGUGAUGUGAAAGCCCUGGGCUUAACCUAGGAAGUGCAUCGCAAACGAUUGAACUGGAGUAUAUGAGAGGGUGGCGGAAUUUCCGGUGUAGCGGUGAAAUGCGUAGAGAUCGGAAGGAACGUCAAUGGCGAAGGCAGCCCCCUGGCAUAAUACUGACGCUGAGGCGCGAAAGCGUGGGGAGCGAACAGG